UACGAAGGGGGCGAGCGUUUGUUCGGAAUUACUGGGCGUAAAGGGCGCGCAGGCGGUCCUUCAAGUCAGAUGUGAAAGCCCCGGGCUCAACCUGGGAAUGGCGAUGGAUACUGGACAGCUAGAGUGUGUCAGAGGAUGGUGGAAUUCCCGGUGUAGCGGUGAAAUGCGUAGAGAUCGGGAGGAACAUCAGUGGCGAAGGCGGCCAUCUGGGACAACACUGACGCUGAAGCACGGAAAGCGUGGGGAGCAAACAGG
rnacentral:rRNA from 1 species